rnacentral:lncRNA from 1 species
CCCAGAUUCUUUUUUUUUUCUUCUCGAGAUUCGUUUUUCUUCUUCUUCUUCUUCUUCUUCCCAGAUUCAUUUUUUUGUUUUCUUCUUCUUCUUCUGGGUUUCCUUCUUCCCAGAUUCGGUUUUUUUCUUCUUUUUUUCCUUCUUCUGGGUUGGGGGCAAGAAGUGGAUUUUUUUUUAAUAUUUUAAUAUUUUUUAAUGACACGUGGUGCAUAGUCAUUGUCCACCUAGGAGCCACGUCUCAGUUAACGGAAGACUUAAUAAUUUGACUAACGGAUGUAUGAGACUAUCCCAAAAUUUACACUUUACGUAUGACUCUGAGACGAAAAAAACUUGAUGUACUAAAUAUUGAAAAUCACGAAAUAUGAGGGUAGUAAACAGAGUUUAACCCUAAAAAAACAUAAAAAAACCAGAACCCUUUUUUUCCUUUCCAUUCGUCUUCCCCACUGGAAAAGGGGCCGAAUUCCUCACCCUCGAUUGGUGCGACGGUAAGCCUGUUGCCUCCCUUUUCCACACCAGCUUCCAUCUCCACCGCUCGCUCCCUCUCUUAUCUCCUCUUUCAUAUUUCCUCUUUCCUCUUUCUAUCUCAUAAGUUUCUUUUUUCUCUCUCUCUCUUAGAGGUGUGGAUGGCGAUUGAGGGGUCGAAGAAGGAGGCCGUCACGACG